AUUGAACGCUGGCGGCAGGCUUAACACAUGCAAGUCGAGCGGAGAUGAGGUGCUUGCACCUUAUCUUAGCGGCGGACGGGUGAGUAAUGCUUAGGAAUCUGCCUAUUAGUGGGGGACAACAUUCCGAAAGGAAUGCUAAUACCGCAUACGUCCUACGGGAGAAAGCAGGGGAUCUUCGGACCUUGCGCUAAUAGAUGAGCCUAAGUCGGAUUAGCUAGUUGGUGGGGUAAAGGCCUACCAAGGCGACGAUCUGUAGCGGGUCUGAGAGGAUGAUCCGCCACACUGGGACUGAGACACGGCCCAGACUCCUACGGGAGGCAGCAGUGGGGAAUAUUGGACAAUGGGGGGAACCCUGAUCCAGCCAUGCCGCGUGUGUGAAGAAGGCCUUAUGGUUGUAAAGCACUUUAAGCGAGGAGGAGGCCACUGAGACUAAUACUCUUGGAUAGUGGACGUUACUCGCAGAAUAAGCACCGGCUAACUCUGUGCCAGCAGCCGCUGUAAUAC
rnacentral:rRNA from 1 species